rnacentral:rRNA from 1 species
AGAGUUUGAUCAUGGCUCAGGACGAACGCUGGCGGCGUGCCUAAUACAUGCAAGUCGAACGGGGUCCAUCUGGUGGUAACACCAGUGAAGACCUAGUGGCGAACGGGUGCGUAACACGUGAGCAACCUGCCUCGAAGACCGGGAUAACACCGGGAAACCAGUGCUAAUACCGGAUGCCCCCACGAACCCGCAUGGGUUUGUGAGGAAAGGAAUCCGCUUCGAGAGGGGCUCGCGACCUAUCAGCUUGUUGGUGGGGUAACGGCCUACCAAGGCUACGACGGGUAGCUGGUCUGAGAGGACGAUCAGCCACAUUGGGACUGAGACACGGCCCAAACUCCUACGGGAGGCAGCAGUAGGGAAUCUUGCGCAAUGGGCGAAAGCCUGACGCAGCAACGCCGCGUGGGGGAUGAAGGCCUUCGGGUUGUAAACUCCUUUUAGUGGGAACGAAAUUGACGGUACCCACAGAAAAAGCCCCGGCCAACUACGUGCCAGCAGCCGCGGUGAUACGUAGGGGGCAAGCGUUGUCCGGAUUUAUUGGGCGUAAAGAGCUCGUAGGCGGUUUGGCAAGUCGCGUGUGAAACCUCCAGGCUCAACCUGGGGACGCCACUCGAUACUGCCAUGGCUAGAGUCCGGUAGGGGAUCACGGAAUUCCUGGUGUAGCGGUGAAAUGCGCAGAUAUCAGGAGGAACACCAGUAGCGAAGGCGGUGAUCUGGGCCGGUACUGACGCUGAGGAGCGAAAGCGUGGGGAGCGAACAGGAUUAGAUACCCCCGUAGUCC